AAUCCUGAGGAGCGUUGCGACGACCCUGCGGUUCCCGUCAUGGACCAUGCCCUGGCCCAUGACCCGCGGAACCCGGUUCGCCAGGCUCAGGAAUCCUUGUUCAAGCGUCGCGUCAUGCGCGGCGCUACAGCAACGGCGCUCACCUUUG
rnacentral:ncRNA from 2 species